CUACGGGUUGCUGCAGUGGGGAAUAUUGGACAAUGGGGGAAACCCUGAUCCAGCAAUGCCGCGUGUGUGAAGAAGGCCUGCGGGUUGUAAAGCACUUUCGGUUGGGAGGACUGCUUCUAGCACUAAUAUUGUUGGAAGUUGACGUUACCUUCAGAAGAAGCACCGGCUAACUCCGUGCCAGCAGCCGCGGUAAUACGGAGGGGGCAAGCGUUAAUCGGAAUUACUGGGCGUAAAGCGCGCGUAGGCGGCUAGAUCAGUCGGGUGUGAAAGCCCCGGGCUUAACCUGGGAACUGCAUCCGAUACUGUCUAGCUUGAGUACAGGAGAGGGGAGUGGAAUUCCACAUGUAGCGGUGAAAUGCGUAGAUAUGUGGAGGAACACCAAUGGCGAAGGCAGCUCUCUGGCCUGAUACUGACGCUGAGGUGCGAAAGCGUGGGGAGCAAACAGGAUUAGAUACCCUCGUAGUC
rnacentral:rRNA from 1 species